AUUGAACGCUGGCGGAAUGCUUUACACAUGCAAGUCGAACGGUAGAGGGGGCAACCCCUUGCGAGUGGCGAACGGGUGAGUAAUAUAUCGGAACGUGCCCAGUCGUGGGGGAUAACGUAGCGAAAGUUACGCUAAUACCGCAUACGAUCUAAGGAUGAAAGCGGGGGAUCGCAAGACCUCGCGCGACUGGAGCGGCCGAUAUCAGAUUAGGUAGUUGGUAGGGUAAAGGCCUACCAAGCCAACGAUCUGUAGCUGGUCUGAGAGGACGACCAGCCACACUGGAACUGAGACACGGUCCAGACUCCUACGGGAGGCAGCAGUGGGGAAUUUUGGACAAUGGGCGAAAGCCUGAUCCAGCCAUUCCGCGUGCAGGAUGAAGGCCCUCGGGUUGUAAACUGCUUUUGUACAGAACGAAAAGGUUUCUAUUAAUACUAGGAGCUCAUGACGGUACUGUAAGAAUAAGCACCGGCUAACUACGCG
rnacentral:rRNA from 1 species